UGCACACCAUCACAAUGCCCCUCAGGGACAUUUCAAAUCAAAACCAGGAGACUUGGGCAUAGUACACUGCCUGUCUCCCCUUUCCUUCCCACAGUUCAUUUGGUAGAGGGAUUUAGAACACAGCACUCUAGUCAGACACUAAAGAAGUCUCAAUCCUCAAGCCAGAGAGCACACAUUCUCCAGCAUGGUAAUACGUAGGUCUGAUAGCUUGCUAAUGCUAUUUCAAAUCCACUUACCUGUUCUUUUCUUUUUUCAUACCUCUUUUGAACUCAAGAAAGCUGAUCUAUAUUUAACAGUGUACCUGAAGCUACAGAAAAUUGCUCAAGCUAAGAGAAAAUGCCUCCACAACACCUAAGCUGCCAGUGUGUCUGGUGUUAGACAGUGGACCUAUUCUUGUUUUCACGGGAGCCAUGCUCGUCUUAAUUUGAGUAAAAGCUUGUUUUUCAAGAUUUCAUUAUGAUGCUUUAUGAAGCUGUCUUCAGACACACCAGAAGAGAUCAUCGGAUACCACUAGAGAUAGUCAUAAGCCACCAUGUUGUUGCUGGGAUUUGAACUCAGGACCUCUGGAACAGCAGUCAGUGAUCUUAACCUCUGAGCCAUCUCUCCAGACCCUACUCUACUCUUUAAACUGAAACAUCUUUCAAAUACAUGGCUUCCCUGCUGCCUUCAGACAUCCACAGAGCACAAGGGUAUGGCAGGAUGGACUAGGAAGUGAACUGUUACACAACUGCUGUGAGCCAAAAAGAAACAGCACGGCACACUGAUUCUCAACUAACAUCUGAACUGCAUGUGCUGUCCAGAAGAAAACACUGACAACUUUACUGAAAAAUGAACAAACAAACAAAAAAGCCCAGGGCUGUCCCAGAGUCUUAGCCAGACUGGCUCCUUUAAGCUCAGAUGAGAGGUGUACUGUGGAGGGACAACAGUCUGGGACAACUGAAGAUGUUCUGAUCGUCUUCCUGUCUGG
rnacentral:sRNA from 1 species